rnacentral:rRNA from 1 species
UACGUAGGGGGCAAGCGUUGUCCGGAUUUAUUGGGCGUAAAGAGCGUGUAGGCGGCCAGACAGGUCUGUUGUGAAAACUCGAGGCUCAACCUCGAGAUGUCGAUGGAAACCGUCUGGCUAGAGUCCGGGAGAGGAGUGUGGAAUUCCUGGUGUAGCGGUGAAAUGCGCAGAUAUCAGGAAGAACACCUAUGGCGAAGGCAGCACUCUGGGACGGUACUGACGCUGAGACGCGAAAGCGUGGGGAGCGAACAGG